AGGACGAACGCUGGCGGCGUGCUUAACACAUGCAAGUCGAGCGACGCUCUCCUUUCGGGGGAUGACGGAGCGGCGAACGGGUGAGUAACACGUGGGCAACCUGCCCCUAGCUCUGGGAUAACUCCUCGAAAGAGGGGCUAAUACCGGAUAUGACCUUGGGGGACAUCUCCUUGGGUGGAAAGUUUUUUCGGCUAGGGAUGGGCCCGCGGCCUAUCAGCUUGUUGGUGGGGUAAUGGCCUACCAAGGCGACGACGGGUA
rnacentral:rRNA from 1 species